rnacentral:rRNA from 1 species
GAUGAACGCUGGCGGCGUGCCUAAUACAUGCAAGUCGAGCGAACAGACGAUGAGCUUGCUCCUCUGACGUUAGCGGCGGACGGGUGAGUAACACGUGGAUAACCUACCUAUAAGUCUGGGAUAACUUCGGGAAACCGGAGCUAAUACCGGAUAAUAUGUUGAACCGCUUGGUUCAACAGUGAAAGACGGUUUUGCUGUCACUUAUAGAUGGAUCCGCGUCGCAUUAGCUAGUUGGUAAGGUAACGGCUUACCAAGGCAACGAUGCGUAGCCGACCUGAGAGGGUGAUCGGCCACACUGGAACGGGGACACGGUCCAGACUCCUACGGGAGGCAGCAGUAGGGAAUCUUCCGCAAAGGGCGAAAGCCUGACGCAGCAACGCCGCGUGAGUGAAGAAGGUCUUCGGAUCGUAAAACUCUGUUAUUAGGGAAGAACAAAUGUGUAAGUAACUCUGCACGUCUUGACGGUACCUAAUCAGAAAGCCACGGCUAACUACGUG